rnacentral:rRNA from 1 species
UACGUAGGGUCCGAGCGUUGUCCGGAAUUAUUGGGCGUAAAGGGCGCGUAGGCGGCCUCGCAAGUCCCGUGUGAAAUCCCUCGGCUCAACUGAGGAAUGGCACGGGGAAACUGCGGGGGCUUGAGUUCGGGAGAGGGAAGCGGAAUUCCGGGUGUAGCGGUGAAAUGCGUAGAUAUCCGGAGGAACACCGGGUGGCGAAGGCGGCUCCUGGACCGAUACUGACGCUGAGGCGCGAAAAGCUAGGGGAGCAAACGGG